UCGCUCUAGUACCACUUCCGUAGGUGAUCACGGUUGCAUUUAGCACAUGCAACAAGCCCUUUAAACCCCUAGAUAGCUCUAGUGGACGAGUGUGUUCUCGUGAGGGUUUGUAGAAGAUGUACCCACAAAAUCCCAAGUCGUGAUGAAUCCACAAUUCUCUAUUCUUGCAAAUAAUGCACCAAAAACAACCUAAAAUGAUAGAAAAUCACUUCAUCACCUCAACUCGUGACCUGCACAGAAAAACACUAAAAACACAUCAAAAGACACUAAACACUUAAGUACAACCAACCAAUUUAAGUGGAAAUGAAGGCCUAUAAGUGUGUAUAAAUACCACUUAUCACACCCCCAAACUUAAACUGAUGCUUGUCCUCAAGCGUCAACGACACUAUACAAUAAUACAAUGCAAUGCAUGAAUGCAACUACGUGAUGAAUGAGUGAACUAUGAAGUAAUUGCCUUGCCAAUUAUAAUACCUCAGAUUGUGCUAAUGUUCUCAAAUUUCAUCUCUCUCGCUACUAAGUCAAUUACUCUUCUAUUUACAAGUGUGGAGUGCCAGUGUGUGCAAGCAUGCUCUUUUAUUGAGACAAGACAAAAACUACUACUCCCACAGAAUCCCAAUCAAGAAUCGUAAAAGUUUAGAACUAACACCCCGUCACUCAAGUCCAACUAAAAGCCAAGGUCCCAAAGAAUGUCCACACCCUUCUAUUUUAUUCACUAUAUUUUUAUUUUAUUCUUUUUUUUUAUUGGUGAUUAAUUGCUCGGUCUAAGGUCAGAGCGCUUCGCAGUGUAAUUGCGUUACGAACACCACAAGACUUCACACACCAAUUAUUCACUCUAUUCUAGUGGUUUAUUUAACCGUGCAAUGGUUGAGAUCCCUAAAGAUUUAUGCACUAGUACCCAUGUAGCGAGUGUUGGGUCAACAAUCCCAAACCACGAAGGGCUUUAGGUUGUUAGGCACAAAGUCCCCUCAGACUUAAUUACUCGAGUACUAAUGAGCUCAACCUAGUUAAUUCUACCACUUUUUUUUUUUUUUAGUGAAUUUAUUUACUACUAUUUCUUUUUUUUUUUUUUUUUUUUUCUUUUUUUUUUUUUUUUUUUUUUUUUUUUUUUUUUUUUUUUU
rnacentral:lncRNA from 1 species